rnacentral:rRNA from 1 species
UUCCAGAGAUGGAUUGGUGCCUUCGGGAACUGUGAGACAGGUGCUGCAUGGCUGUCGUCAGCUCGUGUUGUGAAAUGUUGGGUUAAGUCCCGCAACGAGCGCAACCCUUAUCCUUUGUUGCCAGCGGUCCGGCCGGGAACUCAAAGGAGACUGCCAGUGAUAAACUGGAGGAAGGUGGGGAUGACGUCAAGUCAUCAUGGCCCUUACGACCAGGGCUACACACGUGCUACAAUGGCGCAUACAAAGAGAAGC